rnacentral:rRNA from 1 species
UAGGGAAUUUUGCGCAAUGGACGAAAGUCUGACGCAGCAACGCCGCGUGAAGGAUGACGGCCCUCGGGUUGUAAACUUCUGUUGGAUGGGAAAAAAAGCCUCGCAAGGGGAAUUGAUGGUACCAUUCGAGUAAGCACCGGCUAACUACGUGCCAGCAGCCGCGGUAAUACGUAGGGUGCAAGCGUUGUUCGGAAUCACUGGGCGUAAAGAGAGCGUAGGCGGGAUCGUAAGUUAGGAGUUUAAUGCAUGGGCUCAACCCGUGAUCUGCUUUUAAUACUGCGGUUCUUGAGUAUGGGAGAGGGUGAUGGAAUUCCAGGUGUAGCGGUGGAAUGCGUAGAUAUCUGGAAGAACACCAGUAGCGAAGGCGGUCGCCUGGCCCAAUACUGGCGCUGAGGCUCGAAAGCUAGGGGAGCAAACAGGAUUAGAUACCCUGGUAGUCCUAGCCGUAAACGAUGGACACUAGUUGCCGGAAGAGUCAAUCCUUCGGUGACGAAGCUAACGC